GCUGCACGGGGGCAACCCUGGUGGCGAGUGGCGAACGGGUGAGUAAUAUAUCGGAACGUGCCCUGGAGUGGGGGAUAACUAGUCGAAAGACUAGCUAAUACCGCAUACGAUCUACGGAUGAAAGUGGGGGAUCGCAAGACCUCAUGCUCGUGGAGCGGCCGAUAUCUGAUUAGCUAGUUGGUAGGGUAAAAGCCUACCAAGGCAUCGAUCAGUAGCUGGUCUGAGAGGACGACCAGCCACACUGGGACUGAGACACGGCCCAGACUCCUACGGGAGGCAGCAGUGGGGAAUUUUGGACAAUGGGGGCAACCCUGAUCCAGCAAUGCCGCGUGAGUGAAGAAGGCCUUCGGGUUGUAAAGCUCUUUUGUCAGGGAAGAAACGGCGGGCUCUAAUACGGCCCGCUAAUGACGGUACCUGAAGAAUAAGCACCGGCUAACUACGUGCCAGCAGCCGCGGUAAUACGUAGGGUGCAAGCGUUAAUCGGAAUUACUGAGCGUAAAGCGUGCGCAGGCGGUUAUGUAAGACAGAUGUGAAAUGCCCGGGCUUAACCUGGGAACUGCAUUUGUGACUGCAUGGCUAGAGUGUGUCAGAGGGGGGUAGAAUUCCACGUGUAGCAGUGAAAUGCGUAGAGAUGUGGAGGAAUACCGAUGGCGAAGGCAGCCCCCUGGGAUAACACUGACGCUCAUGCACGAAAGCGUGGGGAGCAAACAGGAUUAGAUACCCUGNUAGUCCACGCCCUAAACGAUGUCUACUAGUUGUCGGGUCUUAAUUGACUUGGUAACGCAGCUAACGCGUGAAGUAGACCGCCUGGGGAGUACGGUCGCAAGAUUAAAACUCAAAGGAAUUGACGGGGACCCGCACAAGCGGUGGAUGAUGNNGNUUAAUUCGAUGCAACGCGAAAAACCUUACCUACCCUUGAC
rnacentral:rRNA from 1 species